GGUAGGGUAUCAGAGAAGGGUGAAGGGGCUAUAGAGGAAAAAAUAUACAACAAGCCGUCUACACUCAAAAAAACAGGGGUUCAACAAGGUUCUUGCAGGAACCUAACUGCCCAACUGAAAUAUUUUUAUUUGGAUUUGAGAAGACAGCAGGUGCAGGCACUUAAAUUGAGAUCUUUCCAUUUUUCAGUUAAGGUAUUCUGACGAGGAGGCACACAAUGGACACUGUCAAGUUGAUAAGGCUAGUGGAACCUGACUAUCCAUGUAUCACCAGACUGGAAAAAUGUGUCUCUGAAUAUGAUUAAAUAUGUAAUUGUAAUACAAUUGGUAUUGGUUGUCUCAUAAAUCUAUGCAGAUCACAUAUAUAAUCUACAAUUAAUUUGAAUGAAUGGCUUCUCUAAAACCUUAUAGGAAUCAGUCACAGCAGCCAUCUUCCUCCUCCCUGACCUAUUCAAUGAAGAUCCCAGAGGUCUCUACAUUAUGGACGAGACUUCACCCACCCUACACCUCUGAUGAAUAUAACAGGAAACCUGUUUGAUCACCAUGCACUGCAAAACCAUUCUGUCUAUGGAUAUCCUACAGAGGGCAUCAACACGCCAGAUGAUAUACCUAUUGGACUUGCGGCUGGGAGUGUGCCUCAAUUUUAUUUUUGUAUUCUGCUUUGCCACUAAAAUCAUAUCAUAAACUGGGUGGUUCGAGGCCUUAAUGCUGUAUACCACGGGUAUGACAAAACAUGUAUUUGUACUGCUCUAAUUACAGCGGUGCUGUAAACACUUUAGUAUUGGUAUAACUGCCACAGGUGGAAUCUGAGUAUGUACGCCUAUUUUGACCGCUUUUAGCUCAAUUCCACCGCACCACGUUGGCUGUCCAUAAUAACUGUGAGAGAGGUUUCACCUGGCUAGAGCUAGUGAUUUUUUAAAUAAACGAUCGCAAACGUUUCCUCCCUUCCAGAGCGAGAAGGGCAGAGAGGUAGACCACCACAGCGCGAUGCCUAAGUAGGCUAGCCAUGCACCUGCUGCUGUUGUUUUAGUCAUCCUGAUACGUCUAUUAGAACCCCUCCAACAAAGCUUUCCAAAUGCCCCUGCAAAUUGUGCGAGUACGUGAGUGAGAGAAAAUUAGUAGGCCAUAUAUUAGAGAUACAGAGCGAAAUAUCAUUACUGUGUCCUCCCUUCCUGCCAUGCAUGACUUCUCACAUCAAUACUUCUGUCCAAUACACUAUAGUAUCACAUAUGAUGUUUCCUCAUUACUCAGGCCUGAUUAAGUCACAGACCCGAAGGUUGUGGAGCUUCACUGCGUUAUUUUCUCAUUUCCAUCGAAACACCGCGCAUUUAUCUGGGUAAUUUUUUACUUUUCACCCCUUUAGAUCCCUGGUAGGAGCUGCACCUCAUACGAACGCUUUCUGUGAAACGAUCAUGUCAGGCAGGCGCAUUAGAAGAAGUGGGUACGUGGGUCAGCAGCAGCUCGAGCGAGCUAUGUUUAGCGUCAUGGUGGGCGUUUAAGAGAGAAGAGGACUGGAGAUGUUACAAUGCAUGCAGGCCUACUUUUUUUAAAUGCUUUGUGCGUCGUGUCACUUAUAUCCCAUUGCCUAGUAUAAGGCAAGGCUAAGUAUGGUCUAUAGGCUAAGCAAUAUGCAAAGCACAUAGCUAAGGUUACUGCCUUUCUAGGGAGUAUUUCCUAGCCACGGGGCUUCUACAUCUGCAUUGCUCUCUGGGGUUUUAGGCACGGUUUCUGUAUAAGCACUUUGUGACAACUGCUGUUGUAAAAAUAGCUUUAUA